rnacentral:rRNA from 1 species
UACGGAGGGUGCAAGCGUUAAUCGGAAUUACUGGGCGUAAAGCGUGCGUAGGUGGUUGAUUAAGUUAUCUGUGAAAUCCCUGGGCUUAACCUGGGCAGGUCAGAUGAUACUGGUUGACUCGAGUAUGGGAGAGGGUAGUGGAAUUUCCGGUGUAGCGGUGAAAUGCGUAGAGAUCGGAAGGAACACCAGUGGCGAAGGCGGCUACCUGGCCUAAUACUGACACUGAGGCACGAAAGCGUGGGGAGCAAACAGGAUUAGAUACCCCCGUAGUCC